rnacentral:rRNA from 1 species
CACGUAGGCGGCUUUGUAAGUUAGAGGUGAAAGCCCAGGGCUUAACCCUGGAAUUGCCUUUAAGACUGCAUCGCUAGAAUCGUGGAGAGGUGAGUGGAAUUCCGAGUGUAGAGGUGAAAUUCGUAGAUAUUCGGAAGAACACCAGUGGCGAAGGCGACUCACUGGACACGUAUUGACGCUGAGGUGCGAAAGCGUGGGGAGCAAACA